CAGCCGCCGCGGUAAUACGUAGGGUGCGAGCGUUAAUCGGAAUUACUGGGCGUAAAGCGUGCGCAGGCGGUUAUUUAAGUGAGAUGUGAAAGCCCCGGGCUUAACCUGGGAACUGCAUCUUAUACUGGGUAACUGGAGUGCAGUAGAGGGUAGUGGAAUUUCCGGUGUAGCGGUGAAAUGCGUAGAUAUCGGAAGGAACACCAGUGGCGAAGGCGGCUACCUGGACUGAGACUGACACUGAGGCGCGAGAGCGUGGGGAGCAAACAGGAUUAGAUACCCCAGUAGUCCCUGUCUCUUAUAC
rnacentral:rRNA from 1 species